AUGCAAGUCGAACGAACUCUGGUAUUGAUUGGUGCUUGCAUCAUGAUUUACAUUUGAGUGAGUGGCGAACUGGUGAGUAACACGUGGGAAACCUGCCCAGAAGCGGGGGAUAACACCUGGAAACAGAUGCUAAUACCGCAUAACAACUUGGACCGCAUGGUCCGAGCUUGAAAGAUGGCUUCGGCUAUCACUUUUGGAUGGUCCCGCGGCGUAUUAGCUAGAUGGUGGGGUAACGGCUCACCAUGGCAAUGAUACGUAGCCGACCUGAGAGGGUAAUCGGCCACAUUGGGACUGAGACACGGCCCAAACUCCUACGGGAGGCAGCAGUAGGGAAUCUUCCACAAUGGACGAAAGUCUGAUGGAGCAACGCCGCGUGAGUGAAGAAGGGUUUCGGCUCGUAAAACUCUGUUGUUAAAGAAGAACAUAUCUGAGAGUAACUGUUCAGGUAUUGACGGUAUUUAACCAGAAAGCCACGGCUAACUACGUGCCAGCAGCCGCGGUAAUACGUAGGUGGCAAGCGUUGUCCGGAUUUAUUGGGCGUAAAGCGAGCGCAGGCGGUUUUUUAAGUCUGAUGUGAUAGCCUUCGGCUCAACCGAAGAAGUGCAUCGGAACCUGGGAAACUUGAGUGCAGAAGAGGACAGUGGAACUCCAUGUGUAGCGGUGAAAUGCGUAGAUAUAUGGAAGAACACCAGUGGCGAAGGCGGCUGUCUGGUCUGUAACUGACGCUGAGGCUCGACAGUAUGGGUAGCAAACAGGAUUAGAUACCCUGGUAGUCCAUACCGUACACGAUGAAUGCUAAGUGUUGGAGGGUUUCCGCCCUUCAGUGCUGCAGCUCACGCAUUAAGCAUUCCGCCUGGGGAGUACGUCCGCAAGGCUGAAACUCAAAGGAAUUGACGGGGGCCCGCACAAGCGGUGGAGCAUGUGGUUUAAUUCGAAGCUACGCGAAGAACCUUACCAGGUCUUGACAUACUAUGCAAAUCUAAGAGAUUAGACGUUCCCUUCGGGGACAUGGAUACAGGUGGUGCAUGGUUGUGCGUGUCGGGUCGUGUCGUGAGAUGUUGGGUUAAGUCCCGCAACGAGCGCAACCCUUAUUAUCAGUUGCCAGCAUUAAGUUGGGCACUCUGGUGAGACUGCCGGUGACAAACCGGAGGAAGGUGGGGAUGACGUCAAAUCAUCAUGCCCCUUAUGACCUGGGCUACACACGUGCUACAAUGGAUGGUACAAUCGAGUUGCGAACUCGCGAGAGUAAGCUAAUCUCUUAAAGCCAUUCUCAGUUCGGAUUGUAGGCUGCAACUCGCCUACAUGAAGUCGGAAUCGCUAGUAAUCGCGGAUCAGCAUGCCGCGGUGAAUACGUUCCCGGGCCUUGUACACACCGCCCGUCACACCAUGAGAGUUUGUAACACCCAAAGUCGGUGGGGUAACCUGUUAGGAACCAGCCGCCUUAAGG
rnacentral:rRNA from 1 species